ensembl:lncRNA
AGCGCUUUUCAGGGCCCUCAAAGCGCUAUACAAUGCCACUAUUCAUUCACUCUCACAUUCACACACUGGUGGAGGCAAGCUACAGUUGUAGCCAUAGCUGCCCUGGUGCAGACUGACAGAAGCGAGGCUGCCAUAUCGCACCAUCGGCCCUUCUGGCCAACACCAGUAGGCGGUAGGUGAAGUGUCUUGCCCAAGGACACAACAACCAAGACAGACAGAGCUGGGGAUCGAACGGGCAACCUUCCGGUUACAAGAUGAUUUGAAAAUGUCCUUUUUACCCAUUCCAGAUUGAUUAAAUUCAUUUCAGUUUUAUUCAUAUACUGGUAAAUCACAACAAUAGUCAUCUUAAAGCACUUUGUAUUAUAAGGUAAAGACCUUAGAAUAAUACAGACAAAACCCCAACAAUCAGAUAAUCCCCUAUGAGGAAGCACUUGGUGACAGUGGGAGGAAAAACCAUACUUUCUAACAGGAAGAAACCUCCAGCAUAACCAGGCUUAGAUAAUUUGGGAGAAAUAUGGUUUAUUUCUAGUCCCUGUCAUCACUGCAACAUGCUGGAUCAAGUGAAGGCUUUUUAGGAAGUUGGUCAAAAAUGACUCCAAGAUUUCUCACAGCGUUACUGGUGGUCAAGGUAAUGCCAUCCAGAGUAAGUAUGUGGUUUGUCGCCAAGUUUUUAAAAGAUUUUUAAGGCUGAGAACAAUAACUUCAGUUUAUGUGACUUUAGAAGUAAGGAAUUAAAGGUCCUCCAGGCUUUAAGACGGGGGUCUCAAACUCACGGCCAGGGGACCACCUGCGACUCACAUCGCCCCUACGUGCGGCCCAUAUAUUGACGUGAAGAAAUAUAAUGCAGUUUGGCACUUGAGGAUUUGUUUGUUGUUGUUGCAAAAGUAGAAAUUGAGUCUAAUAGACAUAUUGCUUGCUUAAGUAAUAACAAAGUGGUUUAUUGCUUUGAGGACCUUUUUGUGUUGAUUAAGAAGUAACAUAUUAGCAAUAAAGUAUUAUACAGAUAAGACUGUCUUCAGCUUUUCCAACACAUAUUGGUGAGAUUCACUAUGAAAAUGUUGAAGUGAAGUAUGAAGUGGAAAAUGCAAUGCUGGUAGUGGGGUUAAGGUUAAGGGGAUGAGGUCUGACUGAACUAGACAUCUAAUACAAAAUACAAUCUAAUACAAGGAGGGUAAAACAUUUUUAAAACUUUAUAGUCCUACAUUCUUAAAUUCGUAAUUGGUAUUUUCAUGUUUCCUGUUCAACAACCAGGAUAAUCAGUCAGAAAAAAUGGGCUACUAUCCAUUGAUGACAGAACAUAGAUGGCCUGAAAAGCUUCAGGUUUGCUUUACUCUAGGUGUUUAUAAGAAAUUUGAUUGAUUGUUUUGAUUCACUUGUAUCUCUGAAAUAGAGAGUCCAUUGAGCCUCCAAAUCUUGUUCUUAAAGGUGAAUUAUCAUUAUUAUUAUUAAAGUUGAAUAUUUCAGUUUCUCAUUGAAAUAUUCACUAUUAAUUUUUUUAGUAUAGUGUUAAAUUGAACUGAAACGAUUUUGUAAACUUGGAAAACUAACUAAAAUUAAAUAAUAAUAGAGGAAAUAUCCCUAGCUUUAAUAUGCAUUACUUUGGUAAAAAUUGCAUUACACGUUCCUGUUGAGACAUUGAUGGAUGUGCUUAUUGGGACUUUAGAUGUUUACAAAAGGGUGAGUCAACUGCUUUUGAAAACGCCUGUGUUUUUAUUGUAAUACCUGUACUAAUUUUUGUAAAUCUUGCCUCUAACGUAUGCCCUCCAUAUUAUAGUAAUUAAAAAAAGACUAAACGCUGAAAAAACUGAACUGAAAAACUAUACAAUUAAAAAGUAAAUACUCUGGGAAAUAAGCCUGAAAGCCUAAGAGUGAUGUGCUCUAUCAGGAUAACGUGGUACUGUCAGUCUUAAGAGAUGAUAGGCUCUGAUCAGUUAGGACUUGAGUGUACGAGAGAAGGAUUUCACAUUAAAUUCUGGAUUUAACAGGAAGCCAAUGAAGUGUGACCAGAGGGAGUCCCAUUCCUACUGCGGUACUUUGUACCAGGAAACUAGGACAACCUGAUAAUACAGAAUUGUAACAGUCCAGCCUAGAGGUAAGAAAUGUAUGAACUAAUGUGUAGCGUCGUUCUGAGAGAAAAGGUUUCUCAUUUUUGAUAAUAUUACACGAAAAAGAGAACAUAGUCCUAGAGAUUAAACAUUUUUAAAGUUUCGAAUAAUACAGCUAGAAGGAAAAGAAAAUUAGAAAUUCAGAAAAAUAAUACACCACAGUUUUAUGCUGGGCAGAGAUGGCAAAUUUGAACAGUGUUCAAUUAAAGAAACAAAAAAAAAGCAGAUGAAUACAGAUAUGUAGAAAUGAAGGGAAAAGACAGACAGACAGAGGUUCUACAAAAGACUACACGAACAAAGAAAUGUGACAGAAAUGUCAUACUUUCAUCAUAAUUUCCACCAUUUGCGAUUUGACUGGCAUUUAUAUAAUUAUACCGUCACAUUGUGCCCUUUUCUUCUGUAAUGUCACGUGAGACUAGAGAGAUGGCUUCAACACUAUCUCAUCGCACCAAGUUUCUAAGAUAAGUCUAACAGUAGUUUGGAAUAUGUAUUAAAAAUGUAAAAAGUUAAAUGGAAACUUUGCUGUUGGGUUUGAGGUAAAUAAAGGCUGGUUCAUAUUCUCUUCUUCACA